rnacentral:rRNA from 1 species
UACAGAGGUCCCAAGCGUUGUUCGGAUUUACUGGGCGUAAAGGGCGCGUAGGCGGCCUGCUAAGUCGAACGUGAAAUCCCCGAGCUCAACUCGGGAACUGCGUCCGAUACUGGCAGGCUUGAAUCCGGGAGAGGGAUGCGGAAUUCCAGGUGUAGCGGUGAAAUGCGUAGAUAUCAGGAGGAACACCGGUGGCGAAGGCGCUCAUCUGGCCCAAUACUGACGCUGAGGCGCGAAAGCUAGGGGAGCAAACGGG